rnacentral:lncRNA from 1 species
AUAUAUAUUUAAAUAUAUUUUUAUUUCAUAGAAAAUCCAUUAAAAACAUAAAGUCUUACAAAAGACUAAUCCAAACCAAAUCUUAUAUAAAAACAUCAACGACUCUUAAAUAACAAGAGUACUAAUUUUAUGAGAUAAGGGGCAAAGAGAAACAAACUUCCCCUAUCGACAAUCACACAUUCUACCAAACACAAUCAACUAACUUGAUCAAACAAAUUUUCUUUUCUAAAUCUUACCGCCUAAACAAAGCAUUCACGUGCCAUCAGCCAUAACUUUUUACCUUGAAAUCAUCACUUUGUAGUUCAUAGAAGAAGAGGUUGGAAGAGGAAGAUCGCUUG